AAUGGCAGGUCAGCAUACUGCCGUGAAUACGUUCCCGGGCCUUGUACACACCGCCCGUCACACCAUGAGAGUUGGGGAUACCCGAAGCCUGUGAGCUAACUAUUUAUAGGAGCAGCAGUCGAAGGUAGAAUCAAUGAUUGGGGUGAAGUCGUAACAAGGUAUC
rnacentral:rRNA from 1 species